GUUAAUACAGAACAUAUGUCAAUGCAACCCGAUUGCGUGGUAGGCCUGAACAGCCCCGCUUCACAUCGACAGGGCUGUAGUGGAGCGGGUCAAGAGUUUCAAGUUCCUUGAUGUCCACAUCACCAACAAACUAUCAUGGUCCAAACACACUAAGACAGUCAAGAAGAGGCACGGCAACCCAUUUUCCCCCUCAGGAGACUGAAAAGAUGUGGCAUGGGUCCCCCGAUCCUCAAAAAGUUCUACAGCUGCACCAUCGAGAGCAUCCUGACCGGUUGCAUCACCGCCUGGUAUGGCAACUGCUCGGCAUCUGACCGUAAGGCACUACAGAUGAUAGUGUGUACGGUCCAGUACAUCACUGGGUCUUCCCGCCAUCCAGGACCUAGGCGGACUAGGCGGUGUCAGAUGAAGGCCCAAAAAAUGGUCAAAGAUUCCAGGCACCAAAGUCAUUGACUGUUCUCUCUGCUACCCGCAUGGUAAGCGGGACCGGAGCGCAAAGUCUAGGUCCAAAAGACCUUAACAGCUUCUACCCCCAAGCCAUAAGACUGCUGAACAAUUAAUCAAAUAUCCACCCGGACUAUUCACAUUGUUUUUAACUCCUGCUACUCACGGUUUAUUAUCAAUGCGUGGUCACUUUACCCCUACCUACAUGUACAAAUUACCUCGACUAACCUGUACCCCCGCACAUUGACUCUGUACCGGUACCCCCUGUAUAUAGCCUCGUUAUUGUUAUUGAAUUUUUAAAUUUUUACUUUUGUUUAUUUAGUAAAUAUUUUCUUUACUCUUUCUUGAACUGCAUUGUUGGUUAAGGGCUUGUAAGUAAGCAUUUCACGGUAAGGUCUGCACCUGUUGUAUUCAGCCCAUGUGACAAAUAAAAUGUUAUUUGAUUUGA